AAAAAAAAACAUGUUUGUGAAUGUUGGUAAUUUGCCAGUUUGAAUUCAAAGUAGGCUAUGUGUGUGAUUCAAGUAGAUCUGAUGAGUUGAAAACUUGCAACUUUAUACAGUAGCAAAACAAUGCUGAGUUUUGACAAAAAAUAUAUAUUUUUAAAUGCUACAGUUGUGGUUUUCAUGUCUAUAUAUAAAUCCAUUUGCAAAAUUAUGACCUUUCAACCUCUAAUGCAGAAAUAUUAAUUCAUCCGUUUAUGACUUCAAGGUUAGAUUAUUGUAAUGCUUUACUGGGUGGUUGUUCUGCACGCUUGAUAAAAUUACAAAUUACAAAAGUAAAUUACAAUAUAUAUGUAUUAACAAACAGUCAACAUUAUUAUGUAUGGGUUAAAAUAACAAGAUUCAAUUCAGUGCAGUCCUGUAUCAUUAUACAUAUCGUAUCGUGGCCUCUUUAAUGUGAGAUGACUUAGCUGGUGAUACACAGCCUGCACACACUGCAAACAUACUGUCAAGCUGGUACCUGCCUAAAUAUUGCGAGACCUUUUCUGAACUCUGGUUCUCCAUGAACAUCAGGAAUGCUCUUCAAAUUUUCUUGACCUGAAAAUUAAUUUUGACCUUUGGCCUGUUUCAGCAAAUCUUCAUUUUAAUGGAAUUUAGUAACAUAUAUGAAAAAUGGAAAUGGCUAUAAGAAUAUAGGAUGGUGUACUGUACUGUCAGUGCCACCAAUCCUAUGGUGGUGAGGAUUUUCUUCAGCUUUUGCUUUUUCUUGCUUUAAAAACUACAGAAGAUUCAUGAUGAGCACAGCCAGAAUGUGAAGUGAUGUGCCAACAAUUUGAGCACUUUUCUGUUGCUAAGUUUUCCCUUGACUCAAGUUGUCAUCUUUAUUUAUAUAGCAUUUUUAACAAUACACAGUGUCAAAGCAGCUUUACAGUAUUAAAAUAGAAAAAUAGUGUCAGUAAUGCAAAAACAUUCAGGUUUUUUUUUUCAAGUUUCAAGAGCUAACCACAUCCUGGCCUUUUUUCACUUUGAUUGAUCCAUAAUAGAAUAGAAUGGAGAAUGUCCUUGUUGUGACAUGUGUUUUCUAGCUACAUUUAGCAGUGCCUACCCAGGACCACAGUGUCACACCCUUUUGUUUUGUUUUGUGUUUUUUCCCCCAUGUGCUCUGUGUGUGUGUGUGUGUGUUGCUAUCCUUCUGUUUUGAAUUGCCUUGUUGUGGAUUAUUAAAAGACUGUUAAUGGUUAUCGGUCAUCUUCAUGCUCUCCUUCCCACACCACAAUGUGACAGAAGUCUGGACCAUAAAAGACAAGUAAGCGAAAUGUUUUCCUGCACAUUUUUUUCAUUUUUGUCCGUUUUUAUUUAUUUUUUCUUGUUAUGAUCGAUCCUACCAUCCUUGUCCUCCUGCUAGAGGAGGGGGAUUGCUCUCUCCAGGUGUUCUUUACCAAACUUCCUCUGCUCAUUUUAUCUGACUAGACUGGACCUCGGGAGAGCCUCGCCGCCUUCAUUGAGUGGGUACUGGUGUCAUGAAAGUCUUCACUGACUGUGGACAUGAAGGACAACCACACCAGUCCCACUCUGGACCCAGAGCCCAGCCCACCAUUUCAGUGCUGAACCUCCCUGCCUCACUUCCUAUCCGUUAUUCCCAUAUUCCCCCUCUGUCUCACCCUUCCUAUAGAUGGGAGCAAACUCUUCACACCCUUGUACUCUUUUGUUUUUGUUUUCAUUCCCCAUGUGCUCUGUAUUUGUCUCACUUGAUUGUAUCAUUAUGUUCACAUGUGUGUUGUUAAUUAUCUUCAUUAACCCCAUUUUAUGAUUUCUUCCUGUUCAGUGUUUUUCAUCUGGUCUACUUCAUUGUACUGUGUUUGUUUGUUUGUUUUUGGGCAUAGAAGGACAGAUUUCAAGACAUUUCUGAAAGCAAAGAGGAUCCUCUGGUAUGGGAGAACAGUUGGCUGUCCUCAUAAAAAAAAAAAAAAAAAAAAAUAAUUAAAAAAACGUAUAAAACCUUUACUCAGUAUGUUUUAAUACCCAGAAAGUGGUUUUCUCAAAAGUCUUUGUGUAACAAAAACCUGACAUAUGUUGUAUAUUUGUGUGUCUGCCACUGUCCCCUAUCUGUUGUCGUGAUCCCUGCAUGCAGCGUCACUCAGGCCAUGAAAUAUAGGCCGCUUAAAAAGACAAGAAAAUGUAUUGUGCUAUCUCAGGCUAUGUAUUUAUGUACUUAUCUACUUCAUGUUUUGAUGUUUUUGUCAUGCCUGUUACAGACAUGCGUUAUUAUACAGUAGUUUUAAUUAGAACUAUGUUAUAAUUUUCAUAUGAGCAGUAUUUUAGUCCCUUUUCACUGUGAUUGUUUCAAAUUUUAGUAUUAGUGAAGCACAUUACUUUUCUAUGAGAUGUAAAGCUUGGUUUCACAGACAGUGUUUAGGCUAAGUCAGGGUUAGGCCUUAGUUCAAUUAGGACAUUUAAGUAGCUUUUAUAAACGUGCCUUACUGGCACGCAUCUUGAGACAAAACAAUGACACUGACAUAUUUUAAGAUCUGUUAGUGCAAGUUGCUUUCAGUUAAAACAGCUCAGACAUGCAUUUUAGUCUGGGACUAACUUAAGCCUUGUCUGUUAUAUCGAGAGCUAAUGUUUUAGGGUAUUGAAAUUAGACCCUUGUGUCUGUGUUUGUCCCCACACAGAAUUUAAAAUAUAUUGAUAUACUAACAGCAGGGAAAAGUUAUGUGAAUAUCCAUGCUAUUAGUGAGCAGUGAAGUUGUGGUGUUGUUUACAUUUUCGUUCCUAAUUUCCUUAGCAAAUUCUGUCACGGAGAACUACUCCUCUUUAGGAUGCCAUUAAUUACAUCCUUGCAGGAAGAGACAAGAAUUCAAUGUUAGAAAUCAAAUAUAUUAAUCCAGUUAAAUCUGAGUGACUCUGACACACUGCAGGCUAGACUGAGGGGUUACAUGUCACUGGUUCUUGAAUGGAUAUUAUGACUAGUGGUUUGCAGUCUGACUAUAAAUUGUACAAACAUCAAUAUAAAUUAAAGUUGUUAAUAGUAUUUGAAUAAUAUUUUAGUUAAUAGUGGGCCUGUCUGUUACCGUAUUCUACACUUGGACAUGUAUUCAUUAUUCUACAUGUAGAAUUAUUAGAAUAAUUUGUGCUGAGUUGUACCAGUGGAUAAUCAGCUACCCGUGUCUCUAAUAAGGUUGUAUGUGCAGGUCGUGGUAUCUUCACUUUAGCUGUUUUCAAUCAAGGAGUACAGAGAGGAGCUCAUUGAUGCAGCUGAAGCUUAACAUAGAAGUAAACUGUACCAAAAUGCAUGGUUAAUCCCAAUCUUUGUCUUCAUAUUGAAGCGGAAAUUAAAGUACAGUUUAAAAGCAUGUCACUAUAAAUGUCUGUUCAGUGCAUAAUGUUUGUAAACAGUAUUGAUGGAGUACUUGAAGAUGGGCGACUGGUAAACGAUGAGCACAAGGCACCAAAUUGCAGAAUGAAGUUGAUUGAAGCAGAAGGGCCACAUCUCUGCCUUUUGCACUGAAGGAAAUUAUGGCAGGAACUGAAAUCACUUAUGACUAUGGUAGGAAAGAAUGGCCCUGGUGUAAAAAGGUGGGUAAUUUUUUUUCCUAUGAAUUGGUGUCGAGGUUUAAAGCCUAUACAUCUAGACAAUUAAACCAUCUGUUUUAAAAGCUACUGGGUUUGUGUGAGUGUGUAAAAGAUGAUGUGUGUUUUAUGAUGCCUCAGAGAUUACACAAUACCUAUCGCUUGUUAGUGCCAACAGUUAUAGCCAAAAAAUAGAAGUCUUAAGGUUAAUCUUGAGCUUGCAUGACUCUCCCAGGUGAUGCCAGCAGAAUUUUGUAGAUUCCCCCUACUGUUACAAGCACUGCUGCUCAAGAGUCUAUUAAAGACCAUUUCCAAGACCAAAGCAUGUCAUCCAAAGUCUAUUGAAGGUCAUUGACUGUUUGACUUAAUGUUUUACAUCAGUUAUUGUGGGUAUAUAAACGCACUGUGCCUUCAUGUCCUGCCUCUUCCACAGAAUUAAAAGCAGUGUCAGUCAUCUAGUCCCACACCGUGGCCCUGAGCAUGAGGUGUGUUGGAGGUCAAUGUGGCCCUUCUUCUGUGAAAGAGGGGUUUGGAGAAGUUGGUGUCCAGCAACAGGAGGUGUCACCCGCUAUGUUCUCAACAGACCUUACCAGUGAGUGCUGUGGUGUGUGGCAUAAAAUCUGCCUCCAGAUAUCCUCAGAAGAAUGGGAUAUAUCAGAUGAUGAUGUCUUAUCUAAUGGAUUUUGGAUUAAGAAAACUCAGGGACAGAGUUGACUGAGUUGCCUGAACCAUCAAAAAAGUCCCAUGCUACUGUAAGGCGUGAGGUUUCUGCUGGUGUAAAUAAAGACGAAG